rnacentral:lncRNA from 1 species
UAAAUAGAAGGAAACUCAAUUGGGAACCGACAUCAAGAUUUGAUUGUUCCAACAGGGAAUGACUGAACAUUUAUCCGGACAACAACAAAUCUGAUCUGUUGUUUAUAGUGUUCAAGUGCAGCGUCUGAUUUGGUGUGAUCGUCAGACAUAGCAACUGUGAGGAAAAAUGCAGAAAAGUUCAGGUAAUCCAACCCUAUGCUGUAAGGAACAGAUUGAGGAUUUAAUAACCAGCCAAUGCAGCAUCAAAUACGGUUACUGAUAAGUGGCAAGAAAACAGCAUGUAUAACAGUAUAUAUCGCAGCAGACAGAGGUGAUUAGCUUUCAAGGGGAUAAAUACCUUUGGUGUAGCCGCUGCAGGCGACACUGGACGGACCAAUGUUCUUGUUCCUCCGGCAAACUCUGUGGCGACAUUGGACGCUUCGUGCAAAUUUCGACGGAAUUUGAUGGAGAUUAUGGCCCAAGGACGCAAAUUGAUGGAGAUUCCGGCUGAGGACCCCUCCAUCUUAUAGCAGCCAAGUUAAAU